GAUGAAUAGACGCUGCGGGUCACUGCGCUCUCCCCUGGGUAGAACAGAUGGUUUGAAAAGGAAAGAUUUUUUUUUCACAUAUGGGGAAAAAAAAUUCCCAGCCUUGGAAGGAUAUUUGGGUUAGAGGCCGAAGUGCAUCACAGAUCACGCACGCGUCCACACCUCAGAAAACACUCACUCAUUCCUGAGACGCAACGUCUCCGGCACACAGCUCCGCAGCUGGGGGUGACUAAGAGCCCACACCACGCAAGUAAUAAAACGCUCCAAUUUCAUUUAUUUAAUCAUCUGUGUGCUUCAUUUGACAAAUAUUUAUGGAGUGUCUGCUGCUAGCUCAGUGCCUGGUGCCUGGGACUGAAGACCAGAGCCCCCUGGAGACCAAAAGAGCCAGCUCCCAGCUGUGAGCAGAUCGGGUCCAAAGAUCACGGGCUCGGCGGCAGGAACCUGGUUUGGUAUCCGGCUCCUCUGCGGACUUUGAAGUGCUUUACCGAUUCACAUGACAACUGGUAAAACGAAAACAAACACCUUUCCAGGAAUUGUGAAUUCGAGUUCCAGACCCUCUGGGAUUCCGGGAGCGCAGCUGCUAUUUAUGUUAACAGUCAUUGGUCCCAGGCUGGUGAGGUUAGAAUUUCCAAGUAUAAAAGUAAUUUAGUUUCGUUUUAAAUACAUUUUAGGGCCAAAGAAAAGUGGAACGAUUUAAAGAAAAAGAUGAAAUGAAUAAUAGGGCAAGUUGGGAGGUGGCUGUCCUGAGGUUUCAUGGGACAACAUUAAUUAACCUCAUGAAGUGCCUGCAUGGACAACGUGCCCGGUGUGGUUACAAACAAACCAAUCAGCACAGAUCCUGGGUGGAAAGCAGGGCGCAGCCACGGAGGCACAGUAGGGGUGCAGACUUGAAGGUUUUUAGGAGGUAAGCCCCGAGGGCACGAAGCUCCACGGAGAGACUGUUGACCCGCCUGGGAGUGCAGUGCAGUCACAGCAACCUCCAAAAACCCAACUUUGCAAAGAUAUGGCAUCGUCAGAAGAAAUGGGGUGCAAUCUAAUGUUGACAGUGUGGAUGAGAGUGGGACACCUGCCAGUUGUUUGCAUCAGCAGACACUCAGAGUCCAUGGAAAAAAUGAGCCUAGAGGUUUUUAAACCACAACACAAGCAAAAGGCACCUGGUCCCGUUCCUCUUAAGACAGAAGAAAGAGGCGUAAAACCAGCUCCAGGUGCCACCCUUAAGAAAUGUUACAGUGCCGGAUGGGAAGAGUAAACCCUGAACAUCUCUUCUUAAUACUUUACAGACUUCAAGUGUAUUUUAUGGUGACAAAGCAUAUUGAAGACAAAUGAAACUCUACAACCCUGAAAA
rnacentral:lncRNA from 1 species